AUGGAUUAUUAUAUACGUUUUUGUCAUGCGUAUCCGUGAACCAAUUGCCAGCGUUAAAUAAAAAAAAGAAAAAGACAAAUGUAGAUCGAUAAAGAAACGAAAAGAAACAUCAAAUGUCCGAUGUUAAGAAGACAAGAAUGAGCAUGUGAGAAAAGGGUAAAUCCAUAAUUCAAGGAUAGAGGAUGAUAUUCCGCAAUGCGUAUAAUGUAAGGAGUCAAUAUUCGCAAGGAAGAAGAGAUUAUUAGAAGUCGAACAGCGAUUUGGAAAUAACAAAUAAUAUGAUUUCGCAGAAGACAAGCAAACAGAAAAAGGAACAGAAAGAAGCGAACACUGUGACCAGAUAAAGGAGCGUGAUUUUUGAAAAAUGUUAUUCUCUUUGCAAAAAUUAUAUCUACCAAUAUACACACACAUACACACACACACACACACACACACACACACACGCCUCAAAAAUGAAGUAUAAAGAUGAUUAUAUAAAGAUGUCUUUUACAUAUUAGACGGAGAUAGUGGUACUGCUCUAUUUUUUGGAUCCCGAAGGAAUAGAAAAUUUGAAAUUAUAAGAUUUUUAAAAAUAAUUGCUUUUGAUUCCGGAAAGUUUCCGGAACUUACGGUUUUUUAUCACGAAAAUUCUCUGCGCGAAAAUAUCUAUUCUCGUAAAGCUCAAAAUCUUCCAAUUCACGAAUCAAGCACAUAAUUAGAAUAAAUGUCAAUACUUAUAAAUUUUGUAAUACUAUGAUCGCUACUACAAUAAUAAAAAUUCCCAGUAAAAUAAAUUCAUUAAAUAUGAAUACACCUCAACUUAUAUUGUAGAUAAUAUUUCAACACAAUAUGUAUCGUACAAUAAUAGAUUCAUGUUGGCAUUUUGGAUCAAUCAUGUAAUACUAACGCAGCAUUCAACGUGUUAAACAAUUUAUUUCAUUCAAAGACAAUCAAUUUGGCAUAAAGACACUCAUUGCAUGUGUUUGUAAAACUGCAUAUAUUUUAGAUAUGCUUAUAUAUUCAAGUUUUGAAACAGAAAUUCCUGUAUGUCAAAAAAAUUUGUAUAAAUCUGGUAAUAUAGUAAUGAUUAUAAUGAAAAAUUAUUUCAAAAAAGUUCAUAGUUUAUAUUCGAUAAUUUGUACACAAGUCUAAUUUUACCACAUUAUAUUUAAACCAAACAAAUGCUUGUGGUACAGUAAAAAAGGACUGCAAAAAUAUGUCAGUUAUGCAAGAUAAAUUACAAAUAGAUGAAAUACCAUUAGGAUCGAAUAAAAAUUCAUGUAUAAAAUUAAUGUAUAAAAUGACAAAAUAAAAGAGCAGUUUGGAAGUUGA